CGGUCGGGCUGAGGUACGAAGCGGGGCGCGGCGCUGUCCCUGACUGGGCGAACGACGGCCUCCCUCGCGGGGGGCUGGCGUGAGCCUGGACCUGUGUCGGCGUCUUCCCGUGGAAUGCCGCAGCUAACGCGGGCCUCGCGGCCCGCUUCGGCCGGCGUCGAACAGCCGACUUAGAACUGGUACGGACCGGGGGAAUCCGACUGUUUAAUUAAAACAAAGCUUUGCGAUGGCCGUCAGCCGGUGUUGACGCAAUGUGAUUUCUGCCCAGUGCUCUGAAUGUCAAAGUGAAGAAAUUCAACCAAGCGCGGGUAAACGGCGGGAGUAACUAUGACUCUCUUAAGCACGCUGUGAUAGGCGCCAGGUUAAAGCGGAUGCUAGGAGAGGAACCUACCAUCAAGUCCCUACAGCAACACCGUAAGAAGACCCUCUCCGAGCAGGUCCAAGGAUACGGCUCAGAGCAUUUUAAUAACAGUUAUUCUAACAGCUGGUUAUCAGGAUCGACCAGAUUGAUCUCUGGCCGGAACUACGUGCAAGCCUGUGCACUACGCACGCAAACUCUACCAACCCGAGAGGCAGUUUCCAGGGGAAGAUCCGGCACCAAUAACAUCUGCCGAAACUGCGGGUUGGAAGAGGAGACAUUAUCCCACAUUCUGCAGAACUGCCAUCGAACUAAUAAGAUAAGGAUACAUCGACACAACGCAGUUCUGCAGAUAUUAACUCAACAUCUUUGCAGGAGGAAUUGGAGAAUCCAAGAAGAGCCACUGAUCCCAACUCCUGGGGGUAAUGUUAUUAAGCCAGAUGUCUUGGCGACGGAUCCGGAGGGAAACCUCUAUGUCAUAGACGCAGCGUGCCCGUACGAAGGGGGAGGCGACUCCCUCUCAAGGGCCGCUGCGGCGAAAGUGGAAAAAUACUCCGCCUACGAAACAUCU
rnacentral:ncRNA from 1 species